AGUACCGGGUUGGUUGGGUUUGGGUGGAAAAUGUUGGGAGAGAAAGUCCCAGUCUACUCAUGCUCCUUGCUUGGUUGGUGGCGAUAUUAGUCAAUGUUCGUACACUGCUCUGGAUGUUAAUAUGUUCCCAUUACUAACAAUUUGUCAAAAAGCAUUCCUAAUUUCGCAGAUUUUUUUCUGUGAAUUUAACAUUCAGUUCAGUCCAUCCAUGUCAAUAAGUAAGUAUGUACAUAAAUAAAUACUCCUCGCAAACUGGUAAAGCGACAUGUAUUUGCAUAAUAUGCAUUUAUUUAUACAAAUGUCCCAGUACAUACAUGCACACACAGAUGCGGUAUAUGUUUUCUUAUCCAAUUUGCAGGUGACUAUACUUCUUACUCGUUACAUUUUUGGCAACGAAGCCCACAUUUUUCAAAGUGCGAAAACUGACUGAAAUUAAUCUCGUGGUAUUCGGUCUCCUUUUUCUCAAAGGAGGAGAUUACUUCUUUUCAAUUCCGGAUUGCAGAACAAGGUUUCAAGGUACACAGCUUGGAAAGACUUCCCCAAACCUACAUACAAAAUCCUGACGCUUGGGCGAUGCAGAGAUUUUUCAAACACUUGCCAGCCCACGCGCAGGUCAUCUUUCUCAAUUUCUAAAUCAUCAACGCCUCCACCGACCUUAUUUUAUUAUCCUCCUUCCUGAAGAAUUUAAAAGAACUGGAAGAAUUUUAUGCAGAAAACACAAGACAUCAUAACCACCCCGGUUGACAUUCACUUAGCAGAUUUGCCCCACAAACGUCGACUCCUCCCAUCAGUAUCAUCCAUGAACUUAAUUCUUUCUCCUGCCAGAGAAGCAUCCUACCCGAGCAUUAAAGAAUUCGAUUUCGGAGCCCAAAACCCGUACGGAUGGCCUAAAAAGCGAGUGACAACUCUGAAUGAAAGCAUUUUCUUAAACUUUGCCAGGAUUUUUUCAUGAAUUGAAAAGGUGGGUGACUUUGAUGGGAUGGGGAGGAAUGGUACGUCAUUUUGAAAAGCAUUCUCCAAACCCGACCAUGAAAUGGAUCAUGGAAAAUUUUGAGAGACAAGUUAACGCCACAACUACAGUAAAACAACAGGAUGUCGUUGUAAUUAACUCUGAAAAUGAUGUUGCUGGUUAUAGUGCUUAUCUUACCGUGGAGAAUGCCCUUGAUAAAUUUGGUGUGUCUACUAAAAACGCGACCGAUUUCCUAAUUGAGGCGGAUACCGGAACAGGAAAACGAACGGGACGGGAGAUCACGCCAAUGGAAAAGUUAUGAUAUCGUUACACAAAUCUGGGCUGGUUCCCCCAUCGAUUCAAUUUGUCUACGUUCAGAUAAUCAUUGGUAAUGGAUGAAUUUUAGGGUAGGCGAAGGGUCAACAAAGGUGGUGGGCGUAGAAAUGGUGGACUAAUGUAAUUACCAAAUUUUACUUCGUAAUAAAUCUCCCAAUUUUCACGCAUUAAAUUUUA